ensembl:miRNA gga-mir-99a gga-mir-99a
CCAAUUGGCAUAAACCCGUAGAUCCGAUCUUGUGUUGAAAUGCACUGCACAAGCUCGCUUCUAUGGGUCUGUGUCAGUAUG